AACGAACGCUGGCGGCAUGCCUAACACAUGCAAGUCGAACGAGACCUUCGGGUCUAGUGGCGCACGGGUGCGUAACGCGUGGGAAUCUGCCCUUGGGUCCGGAAUAACUCAGAGAAAUUUGAGCUAAUACCGGAUGAUGACGUAAGUCCAAAGAUUUAUCGCCCAGGGAUGAGCCCGCGUAGGAUUAGCUAGUUGGUGAGGUAAAGGCUCACCAAGGCGACGAUCCUUAGCGGUCUGAGAGGAUGAUCAGCCACACUGGGACUGAGACACGGCCCAGACUCCUACGGGAGGCAGCAGUGGGGAAUAUUGGACAAUGGGCGAAAGCCUGAUCCAGCAAUGCCGCGUGAGUGAUGAAGGCCUUAGGGUUGUAAAGCUCUUUUACCCGGGAUGAUAAUGACAGUACCGGGAGAAUAAGCCCCGGCUAACUCCGUGCCAGCCGCCGCAGUAAC
rnacentral:rRNA from 1 species